rnacentral:rRNA from 1 species
AGAGUUUGAUCCUGGCUCAGGACGAACGCUGGCGGCGUGCUUAAUACAUGCAAGUCGAACGGAGUUAAGGGUUUCGGCCUUUAACUUAGUGGCGAACGGGUGAGUAACGCGUGAAUAACCUGACUCAAAGAGGGGGAUAACAACGGGAAACUGUUGCUAAUACCGCAUGAGACCACAACACCGCAUGAUGAAGGGGUCAAAGAUUUAUCGCUUUGAGAGGGGUUCGCGUCCCAUUAGGUAGUUGGAGGGGUAACGGCCCACCAAGGCGACGAUCAGUAGCCGGACUGAGAGGUUGACCGGCCACAUUGGGACUGAGAUACGGCCCAG